UGGGUGAAGCUUCCUUCACUUUCCUGUUAAAAAGAAGAGGAAUUUUCCCUUUCUUUCUGCCUGGAACUUUCACCAAUGCCUAGAGGCAACACAGCCAUCUUGUAGCUACAUUCUAAAGAUGCUUCAGCAGGAGGACAGAGCACCCUGAUUCCUUGAACAGGGCCUUAACUCUGGACUCCAGCACUGAGAUUUCUUGUUCUAUGACGAAGAAUAGAGGCUUUGCCAGGAUGCCUAACCUACUUGGAAAUAGCAGAAUAGUGCAUAGACAUUCACACUGAGAACUUCUAUCCAAGAAGGAACACAAAAGUUCAACAUAAAAGUAAAAGAAAACUUUGGAUAUGGGGACAAAAAAGCUCACCUUGAACCACUAUAUGAGACCACCACAUAAGACUGCCUUGACCCACCACAUAAGAUAUUAAGCUACCUCGCUGAAAGGACCAUGCAGGAGACUACAUAGACCUCAUGGAGAGGAAGAGGCCUCAAAACUACAUUGCAAGGGGGUAAGCCAUACCAUUGCCACAGGUGAGCCCUGCUUUCCAGAACCAUCCACAUCAGGUCACCAGACAUGUUGGUGAAGCCAUCAUGGACAUUCCAGCCCCAAUCACCUAAAACUGCUGCUGCAUGAAAGACUUUAACUGAGAAAAGCAAAAGAUCUAUCCAGCUAAGUCAAAUCAUAGGAUUCUGAAAAUAAUUAAAUGGUGAUUGUUUUCAGAUACUAAGUUUUGGAGUGGCUUGUUAUAAAGCAACAAAACAAUAUGUUUUAGAAACAAAUAUAACUAUUAUGUAACACAUAUGAUCUCCCAGAUAUUAUUGCAAUGGAGAAAGUAUCCGUAGUGAGAGUUAACCACUUAAUGGAUUCAUCCUGGAAUUUCUUUUUUUUUUUUUUUUUUGAGAUGGAAUCUCACUCUUUCUCCCAGGCUGGAGUGCAGUGGCACCAUCUCUCCUCACUGCAACCUCCACCUCCCGGGUUCAAGCGAUUCGCCCGCCUCAGCCUCCCGAGUAGCUGGGACUACAGGCGCGUGCCACAACGCCUGGCUAAUUUUUUGUAUUUUUAGUAGAGACAGGGUUUCACCGUGUUAGUCAGGAUGGUUUCGAUCUCCUGACCUCAUGAUCCGCCCGCCUUGGCCUCCCAAAGUCCUGGGAUUAUAGGCGUGAGCCACCGCACCCGGCCUAUCCUGGAAUUUCAAACCUACCCCCGAUGCCUCAAACCUACAGAAACUGACACAUGCACCAUAGUUUUUUAAAGGGAUGCAAAGUUUAAAUAAUGUGGAUUUCAACUAAGGAUUAUUAAAUAUUGAAUUUGCAACCACAUUGAUGCAUUUUUCUUCAGCUGCACUUUGUCAUUUCUGGAGGUUGACAGUCAUUGAUUAUAAAAAAUAUUUUUAUUAUGCAUAAUUGUGAAUUGGAAUCAAACUUAUCAGUGAUAUUUUUGUUGGUUUUGUGUUUUAUUUUGCUGCUGGUUAAUCCCAUCAUGGAUGAAUGACUUAAAAGAGAAUGAGUUUUUAAAGCAUGAAGGCAAAGAGAGUGAUGGAAAUAAAUGUGAGUAGUAAUACUGGUGGUGUUUAAAUCAGUCAUGUAUCUUC
rnacentral:lncRNA from 10 species